AUCGAACGCUGGCGGCAGGCCUAACACAUGCAAGUCGAACGGAGAGGCGGACGGGUGAGUAAUGUCUGGGAAACUGCCUGGUAGUGGGGGAUAACGUCCGGAAACGGGCGCUAAUACCGCAUACUAUCAGAUGAGCCUAGGUCGGAUUAGCUAGUUGGUGGGGUAAAGGCCUACCAAGGCGACGAUCCGUAACUGGUCUGAGAGGAUGAUCAGUCACACGGGAACUGAGACACGGUCCAGACUCCUACGGGAGGCAGCAGUGGGUAAUCUUGGACAAUGGGCGAAAGCCUGAUCCAGCCAUGCCGCGUGUGUGAAGAAGGUCUUCGGAUUGUAAAGCUCUGUUGGUUGGGAGGCGGUACCAACAGAGCAAGCACCGGCUAACUUCGUGCCAGCAGCCGCGGUAAUAC
rnacentral:rRNA from 1 species